UACGGAGGGUGCGAGCGUUGUCCGGAAUCACUGGGCGUAAAGGGCGCGUAGGCGGCCUGAUAAGUAGGGGGUGAAAUCCUGCGGCUUAACCGCAGGGCUGCCUUCUAAACUGUCAGGCUAGAGCACAGUAGAGGCAGGUGGAAUUCCCGGUGUAGCGGUGGAAUGCGUAGAGAUCGGGAAGAACAUCAGUGGCGAAGGCGGCCUGCUGGGCUGUUGCUGACGCUGAGGCGCGAAAGCUAGGGGAGCAAACGGG
rnacentral:rRNA from 1 species